rnacentral:lncRNA from 1 species
CACGGUCCACAGUCAGUAUCUCCUCGAAGUUUAUAUUUAGAGGAGGUGGGACCCCUUCAUUCUCUUCGGGCACAUGUACUUUGCCCUUUCCCGUGGUACGCCUUCUCUUUCGCUUCCGAGAAGGACCUUGAUUCGGGUUCAGUCCCGACACAAUACGGCCUUCCGCGCUCACGACCAAUGGUGCGGUGCGACGCGCGGAAGAAUCAUCUAUCAGCAUAGGAGUCGCCGACUCCAGCACACGAGUCGCCGAUUCAGU